rnacentral:lncRNA from 1 species
AUGUGCCUCCGUCCGUCUGUCCUUCCCCCCGGCCUCCCUCCGUCCGUCCUUCCUGGGCCUCUGUCCGUCCGUCUGUCUGUCCUUCCCGGCCUCCCGGGCCUCCGUCCGUCUGUCUGUCCUUCCCGGCCUCUAUCUGUCCUUCUUGGCCUCCCGUCCGUCUGUCCUUCUUGGCCUCUGUCUGUCCUUCUUCUUAGCCUCCCUCCAUCCGUCUGUCUGUCUGUCCUUCUUCCCGGCCUCUAUCCGUCCUUCCCGGCCUCUAUCCGUCCUUCCCGGCCUCUAUCCGUCCUUCCUGGCCUCCUGUCCAUCUGUCCUUCCUGGCCUCCCGUCCGUCUGUCCAUCCUUCCUGGCCUUCUGUCUGUCCUUCUUGGUCUCCCAUCCAUCCGUCCUUCCCAGCCUCCAUCUGUCCUUCCUGGCCUUCUGUCUGUCCUUCCCGGCCUCCCGGGCCUCCGUCCGUCUGUCUGUCCUUCCUGGCCUCCGUCUGUCCUUCCUGGGCCUCCUGUCUGUCUGUCUGUCCUUUCUGUCCUUCUUCUUAGCCUCCCUCCGUCCGUCUGUCUGUCUGUCCUUCUUCCCAGCCUCUAUCCGUCCUUCCCAGCCUCUAUCCGUCCUUCCCAGCCUCUAUCCGUCCUUCCUGGCCUCCCGUCCGUCUGUCCUUCCUGGCCUUCUGUCUGUCCUUCCUCCCCGUCCGUCUGUCCAUCCUUCCUGGCCUUCUGUCUGUCCUUCUUGGUCUCCCAUCCAUCCGUCCUUCCCAGCCUCCAUCUGUCCUUCCUGGCCUUCUGUCUGUCCUUCUUGGUCUCCCAUCCAUCCGUCCUUCCCAGCCUCCAUCUGUCCUUCCUGGCCUUCUGUCUGUCCUUCUUGGUCUCCCAUCCAUCCGUCCUUCCCAGCCUCCAUCUGUCCUUCCUGGCCUUCUGUCUGUCCUUCCCGGCCUCCCGGGCCUCCGUCCGUCUGUCUGUCCUUCCUGGCCUCCGUCUGUCCUUCCUGGGCCUCCUGUCUGUCUGUCUGUCCUUUCUGUCCUUCUUCUUAGCCUCCCUCCGUCCGUCUGUCUGUCUGUCCUUCUUCCCAGCCUCUAUCCGUCCUUCCCAGCCUCUAUCCGUCCUUCCCAGCCUCUAUCCGUCCUUCCUGGCCUCCCGUCCGUCUGUCCUUCCUGGCCUUCUGUCUGUCCUUCCUCCCAGCCUGCUCCGUCUGUCUGUCCUUCUUGGCCUCCAUCCAUCCUUCCUGGCCUUCUGUCUGUCUUUCCCGGGCCUCCAUCCGUCUGUCCUUCUCCCUGGGUCUCCGUCUGUCUGUCCUCCCGGCCUCUAUCUGUCUUUCUCAGGCUCCGUCUGUCCUCCUUCCUGGGCCUCCCGUCCGUCCGUCUGUCCUUCCUGGCCUCCAUCUGUCCUUCCUGGCCUUCUGUAUGUCCUUCCCGGGCCUCCCUCCAUCCGUCCGUCUGUCUGUCCUUCCCAGCCUCUAUCUGUCCUUCCUGGGCCUCUCGUCCGUCUGUCUGUCCUUCCUGGGCCUCCGUCCUCCCGUCUGUCUGUCCUUCCUGGCCUCCCGUCUGUCUGUCCUUCCUGGCCUCCAUCUGUCCUUCUUCUUAGCCUCCUUCCAUCCGUCCGUCCGUCUGUCCUUCCUGGCCUUCUGUCUGUCCUUCCUCCCAGCCUGCUCCGUCUGUCUGUCCUUCUUGGCCUCCAUCCAUCCUUCCUGGCCUUCUGUCUGUCUUUCCCGGGCCUCCAUCCGUCUGUCCUUCUCCCUGGGUCUCCGUCUGUCUGUCCUCCCGGCCUCUAUCUGUCUUUCUCAGGCUCCGUCUGUCCUCCUUCCUGGGCCUCCCGUCCGUCCGUCUGUCUUUCCUGGCCUCCGUCUGUCCUUCCUGGCCUUCUGUCUGUCCUUCCCGGGCCUCCCUCCAUCCGUCCGUCUGUCUGUCCUUCCCAGCCUCUAUCUGUCCUUCCUGGGCCUCUCGUCCGUCUGUCUGUCCUUCCUGGGCCUCCCGUCUGUCUGUCCUUCCUGGGCCUCCGUCCUCCCGUCUGUCUGUCCUUCCUGGCCUCCAUCUGUCCUUCUUCUUAG